AACAAUCCAAAGUAUUAAGGUCCUGCCUGCCCAGUGAGCCCCCCCUUCAACGGCCGCGGUAUCUUAACCGUGCAAAGGUAGCGUAAUCACUUGCCCUGUAAUUAGGGGCCCGUAUGAACGGCCAACCGAGGGUACUACUGUCUCCUGGGGCCCUACAAUGAAACUGAGCUCCUAGUACAAACGCUAGGAUUCCACCAUAAGACGAGAAGAACCCUAUGGAGAACAG
rnacentral:rRNA from 1 species